AUUGAACGCUGGCGGCAGGCCUAACACAUGCAAGUCGAGCGGAUGAAGGGAGCUUGCUCCUGGAUUCAGCGGCGGACGGGUGGGUAAUGCCUAGGAAUCUGCCUGGUAGUGGGGGAUAACGUCCGGAAACGGGCGCUAAUACCGCAUACGUCCUGAGGGAGAAAGUGGGGGAUCUUCGGACCUCACGCUAUCAGAUGAGCCUAGGUCGGAUUAGCUAGUUGGUGGGGUAAAGGCCUACCAAGGCGACGAUCCGUAACUGGUCUGAGAGGAUGAUCAGUCACACUGGAACUGAGACACGGUCCAGACUCCUACGGGAGGCAGCAGUGGGGAAUAUUGGACAAUGGGCGAAAGCCUGAUCCAGCCAUGCCGCGUGUGUGAAGAAGGUCUUCGGAUUGUAAAGCACUUUAAGUUAGGAGGAAGGGCAGUAAGUUAAUACCUUGCUGUUUUGACGUUACCAACAGAAUAAGCACCGGCUAACUUCGUG
rnacentral:rRNA from 1 species